UACGGGGGGGGUAAGCGUUGUUCAGAAUUACUGGGCGUAAAGGGCUCGUAGGCGGCCAACUAAGUCAUACGUGAAAUCCCUCAGCUUAACUGGGGAACUGCGUGUGAUACUGGAUGGCUUGGAUUUGGGAGAGGGAUGCGGAAUUCCAGGUGUAGCGGUGAAAUGCGUAGAUAUCUGGAGGAACACCGGUGGCGAAGGCGGCAUCCUGGACCAAUAUUGACGCUGAGGAGCGAAAGCCAGGGGAGCGAACGGG
rnacentral:rRNA from 1 species